GGCGGUUCCGGAAACCUUUUAAAAAACCCCUAAAAAAACAUUCCAUCUCAGCCCUUCAUUUCAAGGGCUGAGAUUAAAUCCCUCAUUCCUCCCCUAAAACUAAAAACACGCUACCCCUUCUUCUCCUCCUCUCUCGCGUCUGAGAAACGACGCACCAGCAGCCCCCCACCUCUCCACCUCCCUCCACUCCGACCGACGAGCACAGCCGCUGACGACCCACCACCACGCGACGAAGACCCUCUCCAUCUGCUCGAGGUAAUGCUCUCCCUCCCCCUCUCUCGAAGAAAUGGAAAGGAAGGUCGAAGCAGGGUCAAAUCGCGAAAAUCGAAUCGCACCACCGAAGCUCUAUUGCCAAGGCUGGUCCGGAUUCUAUUGGCAUCGUUGCUGUUUCCCGCAACUAUUAAAUCCUCAUCUGUUUGUGUGCCUAUCUCUCUGGUUGAUUUGCUGGAUUGGUUUGCCCAAAAUGUCAAAGGCGAGAGCUUCAAGUGCAGAAUUAUGAAAUGUUCAUUGGGAGCUGCAGUGUAUCCCAUCUGGAGGGAGAGAAACUUACAAGUGUUCUAACAGAAAACGAUGGCUAGUGAUGAAGUUGCUCGGAAUGCUGUUAACUCCAUGAGGGACUUUCUCAGUUCCAUGAGAAGAGUAAAGUUAUCCAUGGAGAAUAAAAGAUUGUGUGCUGAAUGAGGACUUGUUGAUCAAUACAUUCUUAAGUAAGGAGUAGGUUUUUUUUGCUUUCUAGUAGCCUCCUUUGUGUGGAGUGCCGUUGGUAGUGUCCAUGUAUAGGUUUGUUUUUUUUUAUGUUGUUGCUUUUUCCUUGUAAUUCUCCUUAGAAGGUGUAUAGCUAUAUCGUCAGGAUAGUAUCCUUGACCUUAUUUUCGAUUUAUGGUUUUUGUGAUACCAUUUGGUCACCUGUAAUAAAAUGGAGAUGUAAUUGAUUUGGUUUUUCUUGUCAAUGGAUAGCUUGGUAAUUGAUUUUGGCCAUAAAUGUGACUUGCGAAUGUUGAUUUAGAA